GACAGGGAGCGCAGAUACUGGUCCA
rnacentral:piRNA from 1 species